rnacentral:rRNA from 1 species
UACGAAGGGGGCUAGCGUUGCUCGGAAUCACUGGGCGUAAAGCGCACGUAGGCGGCUUUCUAAGUCAGGGGUGAAAUCCUGGAGCUCAACUCCAGAACUGCCUUUGAUACUGGAGAGCUUGAGUCCGGAAGAGGUGAGUGGAACUCCGAGUGUAGAGGUGAAAUUCGUAGAUAUUCGGAAGAACACCAGUGGCGAAGGCGGCUCACUGGUCCGGUACUGACGCUGAGGUGCGAGAGCGUGGGGAGCGAACCGG